rnacentral:tRNA from 1 species
GUUGGUGUAGCUUAGUGAUAGAGUGCAUGCUUUGCAUGUAUGAUGUCAUGGGUUCAAUCCCCAGCUUCUCCA